rnacentral:rRNA from 1 species
GACGAACGCUGGCGGCGUGCUUAACACAUGCAAGUCGAGCGGUAAGGCCCUUUCGGGGGUACACGAGCGGCGAACGGGUGAGUAACACGUGGGUGACCUGCCCUUAGCUCUGGGAUAAGCCUGGGAAACUGGGUCUAAUACCGGAUAUGACCUCAUGACUCAUGUUGUGGGGUGGAAAGCCUUGUGCGGCUAGGGAUGGGCCCGCGGUCUAUCAGCUUGUUGGUGGGGUAAUUGCCUACCAAGGCGACGACGGGUAGCCGGCCUGAGAGGGCGACCGGCCACACUGGGACUGAGACACGGCCCAGACUCCUACGGGAGGCAGCAGUGGGGAAUCUUGCGCAAUGGGCGAAAGCCUGACGCAGCGACGCCGCGUGAGGGAUGACGGCCUCGGUGUAACU